rnacentral:rRNA from 1 species
GACGAACGCUGGCGGCGUGCUUAACACAUGCAAGUCGAGCGGAGCGGCGAACGGGUGAGUAACGCGUGAGUAACUGCCCCCCUCUCUGGGAUAACAGUUGGAAACGGCUGCUAAUACCGGAUAGUGGGGGAUGACUCGGGUCCUAUCAGCUUGUUGGUGGGGUAGUGGCUUACCAAGGCGACGACGGGUAGCCGGCCUGAGAGGGCGACCGGCCACAUUGGGCUGGGGGACGGCCCAAACGGCGACGGGAGGCAGCAGUGAGGAAUAUUGCACAAGGGGGGAAACCCGGGUGCAGGAACGCCGCGUGCGGGAUGACUGCCUUCGGGUUGUAAACCGCUUUCAGCGAUGACGCGGUAGUGGCAGAAGAAGCACCGGCUAACUACGUGCCAGCAGCCGCGGUAAUUC